GGAGAGAUGCCUGAGUGGUUAAAGGAGCAGUUUGCUAAACUGUCACCGGGUGACUGGUGCAUGGGUUCGAAUCCCAUUCUCUCCG
rnacentral:tRNA from 1 species